rnacentral:rRNA from 1 species
CCUACGGGGCGCUGCAGUGGGGAAUAUUUCGCAAUGGGCGAAAGCCUGACGCAGCGACGCCGCGUGAGGGAUGAAGGUCUUCGGAUCGUAAACUUCUGUCAGCAGGGAAGAACGGUCACUGUGCUAAUCAGCAGUGAAUUGACGGUACCUGCAAAGGAAGCACCGGCUAACUCCGUGCCAGCAGCCGCGGUAAUACGGAGGGUGCGAGCGUUAAUCGGAAUUACGGGGCGUAAAGCGCUCGUAGGCGGUAUGUCAAGUCAAGGGUGAAAUCCCCGGGAUCAACGUGUGAACUGCCUUUGAAACUGUCAAACUUGAGUGUGUGAGAGGAUAGUGGAAUUCCAGGUGUAGGGGUGAAAUCCGUAGAUAUCUGGAGGAACAUCAGUGGCGAAGGCGACUAUCUGGCACAUAACUGACGCUGAGGAGCGACAGCGUGGGUAGCAAACAGGAUUAGAUACCCCGGUAGUC